rnacentral:rRNA from 1 species
GAUGAACGCUGGCGGCGUGCCUAAUACAUGCAAGUCGAGCGAACGGACGAGAAGCUUGCUUCUCUGAUGUUAGCGGCGGACGGGUGAGUAACACGUGGAUAACCUACCUAUAAGACCGGGAUAACUUCGGGAAACCGGAGCUAAUACCGGAUAAUAUUUUGAACCGCAUGGUUCAAAAGUGAAAGACGGUCUUGCUGUCACUUAUAGAUGGAUCCGCGCUGCAUUAGCUAGUUGGUAAGGUAACGGCUUACCAAGGCAACGAUGCAUAGCCGACCUGAGAGGGUGAUCGGCCACACUGGAACUGAGACACGGUCCAGACUCCUACGGGAGGCAGCAGUAGGGAAUCUUCCGCAAUGGGCGAAAGCCUGACGGAGCAACGCCGCGUGAGUGAUGAAGGUCUUCGGAUCGUAAAACUCUGUUAUUAGGGAAGAACAUAUGUGUAAGUAACUGUGCACAUCUUGACGGUACCUAAUCAGAAAGCCACGGCUAACUACGUGCCAGCAGCCGCGGUAAUACGUAGGUGGCAAGCGUUAUCCGGAAUUAUUGGGCGUAAAGCGCGCGUAGGCGGUUUUUUAAGUCUGAUGUGAAAGCCCACGGCUCAACCGUGGAGGGUCAUUGGAAACUGGAAAACUUGAGUGCAGAAGAGGAAAGUGGAAUUCCAUGUGUAGCGGUGAAAUGCGCAGAGAUAUGGAGGAACACCAGUGGCGAAGGCGACUUUCUGGUCUGUAACUGACGCUGCUGUGCGAAAGCGUGGGGAUCAAACAGGAUUAGAUACCCUGGUAGUCCACGCCGUAAACGAUGAGUGCUAAGUGUUAGGGGGUUUCCGCCCCUUAGUGCUGCAGCUAACGCAUUAAGCACUCCGCCUGGGGAGUACGACCGCAAGGUUGAAACUCAAAGGAAUUGACGGGGACCCGCACAAGCGGUGGAGCAUGUGGUUUAAUUCGAAGCAACGCGAAGAACCUUACCAAAUCUUGACAUCCUUUGACAACUCUAGAGAUAGAGCCUUCCCCUUCGGGGGACAAAGUGACAGGUGGUGCAUGGUUGUCGUCAGCUCGUGUCGUGAGAUGUUGGGUUAAGUCCCGCAACGAGCGCAACCCUUAAGCUUAGUUGCCAUCAUUAAGUUGGGCACUCUAAGUUGACUGCCGGUGACAAACCGGAGGAGGGUGGGGAUGACGUCAAAUCAUCAUGCCCCUUAUGAUUUGGGCUACACACGUGCUACAAUGGACAAUACAAAGGGCAGCGAAACCGCGAGGUCAAGCAAAUCCCAUAAAGUUGUUCUCAGUUCGGAUUGUAGUCUGCAACUCGACUACAUGAAGCUGGAAUCGCUAGUAAUCGUAGAUCAGCAUGCUACGGUGAAUACGUUCCCGGGUCU